GACGAACGCUGGCGGCGUGCCUAAUACAUGCAAGUCGAACGCUUCUUUCCUCCCGAGUGCUUGCACUCAAUUGGAAAGAGGAGUGGCGGACGGGUGAGUAACACGUGGGUAACCUACCCAUCAGAGGGGGAUAACACUUGGAAACAGGUGCUAAUACCGCAUAACAGUUUAUGCCGCAUGGCAUAAGAGUGAAAGGCGCUUUCGGGUGUCGCUGAUGGAUGGACCCGCGGUGCAUUAGCUAGUUGGUGAGGUAACGGCUCACCAAGGCCACGAUGCAUAGCCGACCUGAGAGGAUGAUCGGCCACACUGGGACUGAGACACGGCCCAGACUCCUACGGGAGGCAGCAGUAGGGAAUCUUCGGCAAUGGACGAAAGUCUGACCGAGCAACGCCGCGUGAGUGAAGAAGGUUUUCGGAUCGUAAAACUCUGUUGUUAGAGAAGAACAAGGACGUUAGUAACUGAACGUCCCCUGACGGUAUCGAACCAGAAAGCCACGGCUAACUACGU
rnacentral:rRNA from 1 species